GUGAGAACGGAGCCUGGAGUGCCCGCUGCUUGGGCAAGACCUGGAGCUUUCAUAUUUGAGCCGAGCCUUCAGGGUCGAGGACGAGCUUCUGGUGGCAGAAGUGGCUGGCAUUCCGACCACUUCCUGCCAAGGAAGGGGAACACUAAAUUGAUUUUACCACCACUAAUGGGUUGUGGAAAUCUCCUACUUUGAAUACCUCUGAAUUAAAGGAAGCUGGACUGGAGCUAUUAAGCCAUUUCCCCCGUCUCUCUCCUGCUUUGAGCUUGUGACCGGUAAGUGCCAUAUUUUGCUUUGCUAAGG